AGAGACUCCAUCUCAAAAAAAAAAAAAAAAGGUACAUACGUACACAUAUGUACAUAGAAUAAGAUACAUAUACGUACACCUAAAAUAUACUAUUUUUAAAGUAUAUGUACUGUUUUAAGCACUUACAUUAUCUAACCCUAACAACUUUGCAGUGCAUGAAUUAUUGUCCCCAUUUUAUAGAUGAGGCCAGGGGAAAUUGAGCAGCUUGCCUAAGUGGUGAAACUUGGAUUCGCCUACAUUACUGCACAUCCUAUGUGGUUUUACUCUGAAAUAUUUAGCCAGGAUUUGCCUUGCCAAAGGUAUUAGCAUCAGGAAGCUGUAAGAUUCUCCUCUCUGGCUUCAGAUUCUGGUGUCUGCCAUGGAGCCUGCAAUAGGUGCUAAGUAUGAAAUCAGUGAAAGCAAAAUGCCUGGGCUCUUUUCUGUGCUAUGACCACUUGAAGCAUAUUCUGCUGUAGCAGGACAAGCUGCAGACAAAACCCCUCAGACACCGAGUUACAGAAGGAAGCAGUUUAUUCGGCCGGGAGUGUCGGUAAGACUCCUGUCUCAAGAGCUGAGCUCCCCGAGUGAGCAAUUCCUGUCCCUUUUAAGGGCUCACAACUCUAAGGGGGUGCGCGUGACAGAGUCGUGAUUGAUUGAGCAAGCAGCGGGUACGUGACGGGGGGCUGCAUGCACCAGUAAUUAGAUCGGAACAAAACAGGAUAGGGAUUUUCACAGUGCUUUUCUAUACAAUGUCUGUAAUCUAUAGAUAACCGAUUAGGUCAGGGGUCGAUCUUUAACUACCAGGCCCGGGGCGCGGUGCUGGGCUGUCUGCCCGUGGAUUUCAUUUCUGCCUUUUAGUUUUUACUUCUUUGUAGGCAGAAAUUGGCAUAAGACAAUAUGAGGGGUGGUCUCCUCCCUUACUGCCAGCCAGAAUUUUGACUGUUUUUCUGUUUAAUGCUAUUAUAGAAGAGAGAUUGAGCCGUAUCUCCCGCUCAGGGAAAGGAAAGGCUGAGAGGUCUGCCUAAAGGGAGUGGGGGUGGUUGUGAACAAGAGAGCCAUAAAUUGUUUUGAGAUAACACAUUAAGCCAAAUCAACUCCCUCAAAUACUAAUUUUAUUUAUUUAUUUAGUUAGUUAGUUGUAUUUUUUGAGACAGGCUCGCUCUGUUGCCCAGGCUGCAGUGCGGUAGCAUGAUCUUGGCUCACUGCAAUCUCUGC
rnacentral:lncRNA from 1 species